rnacentral:snoRNA from 1 species
CCUCUAGAUGAAGAUGAUCUGAUCUCGUAUAUUAUUACGGGAUUAGAUGAAGAUUUUGACCCUGUCGUGUCUGCUCUCAUCGCUAGGGCAGAACCGGCGGACCUGCGUGAAGUUACGUCUCAGCUGCUCAGCUUUGAGC